UUCGCCCUUAGAGUUUGAUCCUGGCUCAGGACGAACGCUGGCGGCGCGCCUAACACAUGCAAGUCGAACGAGCGAGAGGAGGUUUACUUUCUCAAGCGAGUGGCGAACGGGUGAGUAACGCGUGAGGAACCUGCCUCAAAGAGGGGGACAACAGUUGGAAACGACUGCUAAUACCGCAUAAGCCCACGACCCGGCAUCGGGUAGAGGGAAAAGGAGCAAUCCGCUUUGAGAUGGCCUCGCGUCCGAUUAGCUAGUUGGUGAGGUAAUGGCCCACCAAGGCGACGAUCGGUAGCCGGACUGAGAGGUUGAACGGCCACAUUGGGACUGAGACACGGCCCAGACUCCUACGGGAGGCAGCAGUGGGGAAUAUUGCACAAUGGGGGAAACCCUGAUGCAGCGACGCCGCGUGGAGGAAGAAGGUCUUCGGAUUGUAAACUCCUGUUGUUGAGGAAGAUAAUGACGGUACUCAACAAGGAAGUGACGGCUAACUACGUGCCAGCAGCCGCGGUAAAACGUAGGUCACAAGCGUUGUCCGGAAUUACUGGGUGUAAAGGGAGCGCAGGCGGGAAGACAAGUUGGAAGUGAAAUCCAUGGGCUCAACCCAUGAACUGCUUUCAAAACUGUUUUUUCUUGAGUAGUGCAGAGGUAGGCGGAAUUCCCGGUGUAGCGGUGGAAUGCGUAGAUAUCGGGAGGAACACCAGUGGCGAAGGGCGGCCUACUGGGCACCAACUGACGCUGAGGCUCGAAAGUGUGGGUAGCAAACAGGAUUAGAUACCCUGGUAGUCCACACUGUAAACGAUGAUUACUAGGUGUUGGAGGAUUGACCCCUUCAGUGCCGCAGUUAACACAAUAAGUAAUCCACCUGGGGAGUACGACCGCAAGGUUGAAACUCAAAGGAAUUGACGGGGGCCCGCACAAGCAGUGGAGUAUGUGGUUUAAUUCGACGCAACGCGAAGAACCUUACCAAGUCUUGACAUCCUGCGACGGACAUAGAAAUAUGUUUUUCCUUCGGGACGCAGAGACAGGUGGUGCAUGGUUGUCGUCAGCUCGUGUCGUGAGAUGUUGGGUUAAGUCCCGCAACGAGCGCAACCCUUAUGGUCAGUUACUACGCAAGAGGACUCUGGCCAGACUGCCGUUGACAAAACGGAGGAAGGUGGGGAUGACGUCAAAUCAUCAUGCCCUUUAUGACUUGGGCUACACACGUACUACAAUGGCGUUAAACAAAGAGAAGCAAGACCGCGAGGUGGAGCAAAACUCAGAAACAACGUCCCAGUUCGGACUGCAGGCUGCAACUCGCCUGCACGAAGUCGGAAUUGCUAGUAAUCGCAGAUCAGCAUGCUGCGGUGAAUACGUUCCCGGGCCUUGCACACACCGCCCGUCA
rnacentral:rRNA from 1 species